ensembl:lncRNA
GACACAUGUGUAGGGAAACAGGUGUAGGGAAACAUGUGUAGGGAAACAGGCAUAGGGACACAUGUGUAGGGAAACAUGUGUAGGGAAACAGGCAUAGGGACACAUGUGUAGGGAAACAUGUGUAGGGAAACAGGCAUAGGGACACAUGUGUAGGGAAACAUGAGUAGGGAAACAGGCAUAGGGACACAUGUGUAGGGAAACAGGCGUAGGGAAACAUGAGUAGGGAAACAGGCAUAGGGAAACAUGUGUAGGGAAACAGGCGUAGGGAAACAUGUGUAGGGAAACAGGCAUAGGGAAACAUGUGUAGGGAAACAUGAGUAGGGAAACAGGCAUAGGGACACAUGUGUAGGGAAACAGGC